rnacentral:rRNA from 1 species
CACGUAGGGCGCAAGCGUUGUCCGGAAUUAUUGGGCGUAAAGAGCUCGUAGGUGGUUUGUUACGUCUGCUGUGAAAACCUAGGGCUUAACCCUGGGCUUGCAGUGGAUACGGGCAGACUAGAGGUAGGUAGGGGAGAAUGGAAUUCCUGGUGUAGCGGUGAAAUACGCAGAUAUCAGGAGGAACACCGGUGGCGAAGGCGGUUCUCUGGGCCUUACCUGACACUGAGGAGCGAAAGCGUGGGGAGCGAACAGG